UCCCACCCAUGCUUGAGACUCCAUUACUUUGGUUGAGAAAAGUUCAGCCCUACAAACUGUCCUUAGAUUCUUCCAUGCAUCAUUGCACUCAACUGCCCAUCCAAGAGACAUGCGGUUGAUUUCAGAAUUCUUGGCUGGUACUGCGUGAGGAACAUAUCUACCAGAUAGAACACGAUCAUGCGUCUUGAGAAUUUCCAUGGCGGCGGAGGAUGUUGAUGCCACCACCAAGAUUUGGGAUCCGAGUCUUAGCGAGAUGAGAGGACCAUAGGACUGGCUAAAGCGAGCUAAACUGAUGUGAGGCAUGUUUCCCAGAUGCAAAAGAUUGCCUAAGAUUGGCCAUGGAGAAGGUCCUGGUGGGAGUGGUGGAGAUUUGAGCGAAGAUGAAUCUUUUAAAAGCUUUAGGAUGAGAAAGACCAGAAGUGGGAGGAGGAGGAGGAAAGGCAAGAAGACAUCGAAGAAGCUGGUUCCUUCUGCUAACAUGGCUACCAUGAAUUCGAUUGGGAUGAGGAAGGAAAGUAACAAAGUUAUCCCUAAUUCUCUGAAUCUCCUCUCCAGUGAUGAAAACUGACAUAAGUUGACCAGGAUAUUGCUUGGGGUCAUGCUACGAUACCCACCUUUUUGGCCGAUAGAGUUAAGUGGCAGACAAGGUGAAUAAAACAUUAAAAAAAAAACCAAUUCUUCGGUUUAACCAACCUUACUAAUCACCACACAUUGUUAUCAUCUAUUAUAAUAAUCAAUUAUAAAAUCUGUUGAAAUGUUUAAUAUAAUAAUUACCUUUUGAGAAUUUUUUUAUGAAGUAGAAAAAUAAAGAAAAUUUUAGAAAGAGAAAUUAGAAUUUAUUUAUUUUUGUAAUAUAAAGUGAUAAAUCCAAGAGGUAAAGAAAAAAAAUUUAAUUUAAAAUAAACUAUAAAUUCUAAAAAAAAUCAUUUGGUGAUAUAAUUUAUAAAUUAAGGAAAAAUAAUUUUAUUUUAUUUUAACUUCAAAAUUAUUUGUUAAAAAAAUUGGAUGAAUAUUUGAAGUGUGAAAAACAAUAUAAUUGGUUUAUGAAGUGAAAAAAUAUUGAAUAAUUUCAAUGAAUAGUAAGUGAAAUUAGAUUUUUUUUUUUAUAAAAAUAGGAAAAAUAGAAAUAAAUUUAAAUAAGUAUAUAUUAUCUUAAAAUUAAAAUAGUUAUGUACUAAUUAUUAAUUCAAAAAUAUAUGAAUAAAUUAAUUUUUAGCAUUCAAAUUUAAUUACAAAAAAGAUUGGUUGAAAUAUAGAAAGUAUAUAUAUAAAAAUAUAAUUACUAACAAUAUGGAAAUCAACACCCCUCGCUAACAUUCAUUGAACACCUCCUAAAUGUAAUGAACUUGUCUAAAUAAUUUUCAAGUUAUGUGAAAUCGCAAAAAGAUUUUAAAAGUUCAAAGAAGUGGAGAAUGGGGAGGUUCGUACCCUUACUAAUUUUUUAGUAUUUUUGGAUUUUGAUUUUUUUGAGCAUCCAUUGAACACCCUCUAAGUGUAAUGUACCUAUCUAAACAAUAUCCCAACUAUAUAAAGUCCCAAUUUUUUAAAAAAAAGAUCAAAAAAGUGGAGAAUAGAGAGGAUGUAAGGAAUAUCAGGAUUCUUCAUGUUCUUCGUAUUCUUGGUAAUUUUUUAGAAUUUUUGGAUUUUGAUUUUUACGGGUAUCCAUUGUACACCCCCUGAAUGUAAUGAACCUAUAUAAACAAUAUUCAAGUCAUAUGAAGUUCCAAAGAAUUUUUAAGACUUCAAAUAUAAUUAUAACAACCACAAAAAAAAAAAAAAAACUUAUUCUUUUACAUAUUUAUAUUUUGCCUUAUUAGUAAUGUAUCUAAGCUCUUACAGUAAAUUAAAUCAAAUCAUUUAAGUCAAUUUUUAUAAUAACAAUAAAUUAACUUCCUUUUCUAUUUCCAUUUUUCUAUACUAAAAAUGUUAGAGGUUUCAUCAUUUUUUUUAAAUCACACAUGAUAACUUAUUGUCAUUAUUUCUUUCAUCUUGGUUCAAUGUAUAAAUGACAAGAAUCAAGAUGACUCUAAGAUAAAAUGAAAUCAAAACAAUACAUAAUAAAUCAAAUAUACUUCCACUGUCACAUUAUCUCAACAAAAGUUUUUCUCGGAUUUCAAUAAAUUUUAUAUUUGUAUCUUACAACAAUAACAAAUACCAAAUAAAUUGUAAACAAAAUUUUCAGUCCAAAUUCCCCACAAAUUUUAUUUCACCUUCCAAAAAAAUUCAUAUUACUAACUUACAAUCAAUCAAACGCAAAAUAAAAUACAAAUAUCAUUACCAUUUCAAAAUCCUCCCUAAAUCUCUUUACAUUUUCAAUGGUGACAAAAUUAACAUAUAAAUUAUUUUCAAUGUUCAAUUAUGAAUAUAAACACAUUAUUUUUCAUUAAUGUGAUCAAUUCAUAAAUCUAAUAAAAAACACAAAAUAUAAUCAAUACAAUUUUGUAAAACACAUCAUCAAUACUCACAUUUUUUUUCUUAAUAUAGAACUACUCAAAUAAUUACAACACAACCGUCUUUUGAUUAACAAAAAAUUAUGUUGGUUUCAACUUUCUUUUUCUUCAUACUUCAAGUCGUUUUCUUCUUCUUUCAGCUACGUCUUUAAUUCAGGUCUUUAAACAAGAGAAUUUAAAACUUAAAAACACCACCUUACAACUGUUAAACCAAAGAUCAAAUAUGAAGAAAAUGAGGGAUAUGAAGAGGAGAGGGGAAAGCGAGAAUAUCAUACUCUUGAUUAUCACACGCCUUACUUGAAAACACCGAUAAACACCUGAAAUAUGAAAAUGAAAUAUGGAUAACAGAGGAGGAUACGGAGAAGAGAGAGGGAAAUCGGGAAGAUGACACUCGUACGGGAAGAAUUUUGCACUCGUACUGGAGGGGGAGGCCGCUAUCCAGGUACUCGGUUUCAGCCCAGAAUUUUAUUUUAUUUUAUUUUCAAUUUUCAUUUGGACGGCUAAGAUUAAACCUUUUUCAUCCAAUGACCCAAAUCAAAUGGAGGGACGAUACCUCCGGAGGCAUUAUAGAUUUUUCCUAUUGCCAAAGCUGAUCAAUGUGGACCUCAUGAACCUUCUCUUUUGACUUGCUUGUCACAUGACGUUUGCAUAUGCUUUCAAAUGCAAGAUGAGGCACACACAUCUUCUAUUAGAAUUUUUUAUUUUUUUUUAAGAAUUAUUUUUGGGAUUUUUAAGGUGGACUGAGGUUUCGUUGUUAUCAAAACAAAGAAAGUCGAUUUGAGUCAGCAGUCCAGAUUGAGAAGGUUGGUGGGAAAUGCAGUUGUUGAUUGAUUCUUGGAAAAAACCAUGGGGUUGAUUUUGGAUUUGAGGAGAGUGUAUGCCAUCUUGUUGCAACGGCAAAGCGUCUUUUGGCUUUUGGUUUAGAUGUCAAAAAGGAGGGAAAGAAAAGAAACAAAGAGGAAAAUGCCUUGAAGGAGGAAAUAACUAUUAGGUAAUUUUCAGCAUAAUUCUUUGCUAUUUAUUUGCUUUUUUUUAAAUGCAAGGAAGAUCAGCAGUGGCAAUGAAUACACUACCUGUCUCCACUCGAUAAAUAACCCAAAAGAGCGAAGAAAAAAGGACCACCUCUAGUGCAUAUCUGAAAGAAGAACUCUCAAGUCUUCCACCCAUGUCAGUUAUAGGAAGUGUCUUUCAUGGAAGCCUGUAACUUGACUGGCAGUGUAACACAAACAGUGGUGCCAAUCCGCUCGAUGCCCUAGCCAUGUGUACAGACAGCUCUAAAUACCCAGAAUGCUUACUGUUCACCAUGUGAAGUCUCAUAGUUGAAUUCUAUGAACAGAUUUCAGAGUCAGAUAGCAUUAAUUGCCAUUUUUCUUUUGUACAAAUCAAAAAAGUGGCCAAAAAGUAUAGAGGCACUGUUCUACCAUGUCAUCUUGACACAAAACAGAAAGAAACCUAAGAUACUGAGCGUUUAUAGCAAGCAGUGUUUCAUCUAAAAGUUGAUAUUUGGCUCAAAAAGUUAUAUGGUUAGCAUUGCUUCUAGUGGAAAAGCUAAGCCUCCUCCCCCCAACUAGUUUACCCUGGUAGGAUAUUCCUUGUUCCCCUCCAGGCUACAUUGUCCAUGACUGAUUCCACUGCAACCGGGCAAGCUUACAUUUCCUUGGGCAAAACUGAUGGUUUUGAAGCAAAGUGCUGUCUGGGUACAGAUUUUUCUUGUGCAUCAAACUGGGAACUUGGUAAACCAAAAUCUGGCAGUGUCAGGCUACUGUUCUGGGUGUGAGAAGAGUCAAUUUGUUGCUGAAAGUAACCCUCAAUUUCCAGAUUAUCUUCUAUGGGUAUAGCACCCGUAAGAGUUUUGAACGCAACUUCUAGGCAUGGAUCUGACCAGACAUCCAUAAAAGGGAAGUCCAUUGGUGGCAGCUCCGGCUCAUCACCAGUCUUUUUCCCUGUCUCCAGUUUCCCAGCUUCCUCUUCUUGAACAGCUUCAUCUUCAAGAUGCCUAUUGUCUUUCUUUGAUUGCUCUACAUCUGAUGGAGCUUCUAUGGCUCUGGAAGCAUGAUGUCCAGGCUCUGCUUCUAGGACAACCUCAAGUUGACAACAUGCCGUAUUGUCCAAACUGCCCAUUAUCACACCUAGAGCUGGAAUUACUUCACUUUUACCAGAGAUCUUAUCUGCAACUGCAAGAGCCUGUUCGCUGGAUCCUGAGUUGCCUACCAGGUCGGGUUUGAGCCCAGCAAGCCGUUUUGAUGAACGGCAAGGCAAGUUACAGUCUUUGUUUUUUGAUUUUCUCUUGGAACCUUUGUCCUUUUGCAGAUCUGAAUUCCUCCUACCAGAGCUUUUCUUAGAUUCAGCAUAUUUUUCAUUCUCCACCAGAAGCUUCUCUUGGAGAGUUUCAGUUGAGGGCUCCAAAGCAAACUUAGGUUUAGAAAAUAGCUGCUUGGUUUGCCUUGAGCCCUGAUUUUCUGGCAAGGAUAAGUUGCUCAUUUCAGAACUUCCUGUAUCUGCAGAAGCAGUUGCUGCAAUGCACGCACAAACAAACAGAAUAAGAGUUCCAUUAUAAAAUCGACUUCUUGUGACGUGAUCACAACAUAAAAUUAGUUAUUUAUUGACCAAACCUGAGAAAAGGCGUCGCCUGGUUUUCUGGUGCAUUAAUUUCUGCCUUUUAGCUCCAGGUGGUGGCUAAUAACAGAAACAUGUUCUCCAAAAGUUUAAAAAAAAUGUAAUACUUUAUAAUUUAUAAUAGAGAAGUAGUCCAAGCAAUAUUGGUUGCUGAGAUGACUUGCCAAAGUAAAAUAGUAAUUUGAAACAGAUGAUGCAUCAAGCUUGAGUAAGGCCCAUCAGUUUUCACAAGAUUCGUGAAAGGAACCUCUAGGAAUAAGUUGUGGUCCUUGUGGAGGAAAAGUAGUCACCCAAUGGUCUAUUUUCAAAUAGCAUGCUUGAAAUGCACCUUGUNNNNNNNNNNNNNNNNNNNNNNNNNNNNNNNNNNNNNNNNNNNNNNNNNNNNNNNNNNNNNNNNNNNNNNNNNNNNNNNNNNNNNNNNNNNNNNNNNNNNCAUGCCUACUAAUCUCUCCAGUUUUUAGAUAGCGAAAGACAUCUUUUCUGGAUCGGAAAACAUACCCACUCACAGGAUCCGUAUAAUACUGUAGCAAAUUAGCAAUUAAGUAUCAAUCCAAGUUCAUUAAAAGAUCCAGAUCUGAAAAUCUUUGGGUAUAGAAAUGAAAAUUUAACUAUAAAUAGUUGAAAAAUAAUAAUUCAGGCAAAGUAGGACAUUUGAAGACAUGCAGGCACGCAAGAGGCACAAACUAGAUAAAAAAUUAGUACCGGGUCUCUUCGGAUUCCAUUUUCAUUCAUUCUAAUUUUGAUUUCCUUUAUCCACCCUGCUGGUAACCCAUCCGCUGUAGACCUUUCAAUUACAACCUAGAUACAACUUGAAAGAUCAGAGCUAAGUAACUGAUUAAGAAAACGUAGUCACACAAAGUUCAUAACUAUGAAUGUAAUAAAAGAACACCAUGAAUCUGUCUGGAGCAAACAUUCCUUGCAGUGUGCACACCUAUACCUAGUUUCUUCUGUUUGGUUGUGCAAUGUAUGCACUUUCCAGUUAUGCAAUAGCAGCACAUUUUUGUUUGAGUUAAAUAUGCACAUGGUUGGAGGAUCAUCAUAAUGCCGCAAUAAGAAUGCAGUUAAAUAAGAAUUUCUAGGGAAGUAUUAUGUCAGGAACUGAAAUUCAAUUAAAGCAUGUUCCAUUUCUUGUUUUGAUAUGCCUUUUUUUUUUUUUUUCAUUUUUCCUUUUUGUUCUUUUUGGGCUCCCCCAAAACUCUUGUCCACUGAGCCAGGUUUCAAAAGACUGGAGCAUCCUCAAUUUUUCUGAUGGGUAAUUGUUUUUUUUUUUCUUUUCUUUUCUUUUUCCUUUGUUGCUUUGUCUUUUCUUUUUCUCUUUUCUUGGAUAUUACAGAACCAAACCUGGAACUCCCCCAUUCCCAUUCCAAUGGCUUGCCAUUUGGAUCAAGCCUUUGUCAUAAGAUUUGAAGAGUGGUUAAAGCAUCUUCAAAUUUUAUGAAGCAUUGGUCAUUCUUUUCCCUUGUUUUCUAAGCACAUCAUUUUUUCUGGUUACUUCCUUUAACAGUAAAUUGCUACUAAUUAUAACAAACAGAAGGAAAUUAAAUCUGUAAAAGUAAUACCAAAGAAACACCUCUUUUCUCUUCAGUUGCAGACUAAGAUACAAUAAAGGCUUUGGUGAAGAUUUCACUGAGGCAGGAGGGCAUUAUACUUGUGUUCUAAUCCAAUUCCAAAAUUCAUUCACUUCACAUCCAAUGAGAUUCUGUUGAGGGCUUUUGAAGGAAAAGACAGGGUUCAUAUCAUAGAUUUCGACAUUAAGCAAGGGCUUCAAUGGCCUAGUUUGUUUCAGAGUUUGGCCUCUAGGACUAAUCCCCCUAGCCACGUUAGAAUCACUGGCGUAGGCGAGUCUAAACAAGAACUGAACGAAACAGGAGAUAGGCUUGCAGGUUUUGCUGAAGCAUUGAACCUUCCCUUUGAAUUCCAUCCGGUGGUGGACAGGUUGGAAGAUGUGAGGCUGUGGAUGCUUCAUGUGAAGGACAAGGAAAGUGUGGCUGUGAACUGUAUUUUCCAACUGCACAAGACUCUUUAUGAUGGCAGUGGAGGAGCCCUCAGGGACUUUCUAGGCCUAAUCCGGAGCACAAACCCCAGUAUUGUUCUUAUGGCGGAGCAAGAAGCUGAGCACAAUGAACUCAGCUUGGAAACAAGAGUUUCUAACUCACUGAGAUACUACUCUGCCAUAUUUGAUUCAAUUGAUUAUAGUCUUCCAUUGGAUAGCCCAGUGAGGAUGAAAGUAGAGGAGAUGUUUGCUCGGGAAAUUAGGAAUAUAAUUGCAUGUGAAGGAAGUGACAGGGUUGAAAGGCAUGAAAGUUUCGAAAAGUGGAGGAGGCGGAUGGAGCAAGGAGGGUUUCGAUGCGUGGGGAUCAGCGAAAGGGAAAUGCUUCAGAGCCAAAUGCUGUUGAAGAUGUACUCCUGUGAGAAUUAUAGUGUUUCAAAGCGAGGCCAAGAUGCGGCGCUUACCCUAAGUUGGCUAGAUCAGCCUCUUUACACGGUCUCAGCAUGGACUCAGGUGGAUGUUGCAGGCAGCUCUUCCUCUUUUUCUCUGCCAAGUUGAUCCGGACGGGGUUCUUCUUCUUCAUACAUACCAUCACUUUACAUUCCAUUUUCGCAUACGAAAGGGAAACUAAAUUCUUUGUAGGUAGAAGAAGCAUUUCAUUCUUUCAUUCUUUGGUUGCAGAUAAGAUUUCAGUCUGAUAGGCAAGAACCAAUUUCUACAGAUACAGUAGCUUGAUACGGAUGUCAGUUCUUCUCAGGCCAGAGUUCUAGGUUUCAGUCCUUAGUAUUUGUUGUCAAUUUGUUUUUAUUCUUUGAUUCUUUACGUAUGGUGAAAUUCUUUCUUAGUCAUGUAUGCCGAAAUUCAUUUUUAGUCAUAUGUAAUUCUAUUUAUUUAUUUAUUUUCAUCACUUGUCAGGAGGAUCAUUCUGUUCUGAACCAUGUAGUUGGGAAUUGGAUCACCAUAUAUGAAAUGAUUUCAUUUGAUUUGUGUUCGAAUACUCAUUCAUUAUCUUCUCACAUAUCUCAUAGUUUUUGUUCUACAAGCUUGAUGUCACAUUGAGAUCCUCAUAAAAGUAGAAGUAAAACAAUCCAAAAUAUAGAAAUAUACCAGCUACAAUUUUGAGUACCGUUUUUUCAACAGCAACUGACAUAGAUAUUAUAAGUAUGGAAAUCAAUGAAAAUGAAGAGCUUCUCUUGAUCAUUUUCGAACUUUAGGAAUGAUGAGUAGAGGUUGUUCCUUCUGCAAUGUUACACCGAACUUAUCGUUCAUGUCUAGCUCAUCUGGAGUGGUUCCAUUUGGAAGAGACCAAUCAAAGAAAUGGGUCAAGGAGGCAAGAAUCAAAGGAAGAAGCCUUGCAGCCAUGGGCAGACCAGGGCAUAUUCUCCUUCCAGCACCAAAGGGUAUGAAUUCUAGAUUAUUCCCUUUGAAGUCUACAGCUGAGUUGAGGAAGCGCUCUGGUUUAAACACUAGAGGGUCUUCCCAAUUCAUGGGGUCUCUCCCAAUUGCCCAGGCAUUUACCCAUAUUUGAGAGUCCUUUGGAAUGGUAUAAUUCAUAACUUCACAUGAGACUGAUGCACGGCGAGGAAGGAGCAAUGGUGCCGAGGGGUGCAGCCUCAGGGUUUCUUUGACACAGGCUUGGAGGUAUGGUAGGUGAGGUAGAUCAGAUGCUUUUGGCAGAUUAUCACUGAUUUCUCUUGCAAGUUCUUCAUGGACUUUCUUCAUGGAUUCUGGACUUUUUAUCAGUUCUGCCAUUGCCCACUCCAAUGUUGAACUACUGGUGUCUGCCCCUGCAGUAAGCAACUCCUGCCAAUACAUGACAACCAUCAAAACAGUAUUCUACUGACUAUAUAUAUACAUGUAUGCUAAACCAGUAGCUGGGUAAGGCCAACAAGUACUAGAACAUGCAAAAAAGAACUAUUGAAUUAAAAUAACUAAGUUCCCACAAGAAGAAAAAAUGGAGGCAAGGUCAUCACCUCCUGUCAUUACUUUUAUCAUAUAUACCAGCCAUCACCAAAGGCAAUAAAUUAAAACCGAAACAAAGGAAGGGUGGGGGUAGAAAGAGGUGGAAUAAGUGAAAUGUGAAGCUAUCACUGAGAGUUUCGCAGAAUGAUUCAUGAACCACAGGAGGCACACCGGAGUUUGCAGGGUUCAUAUCCUAACAAUUAGAGCUGUAAAUGGUCUAUCAAAUGUUGAACUGUAAAGGUCAGUUUGGUUCAACUUGGAUCAAUCUCAAGAACUUGUUCAUUGGCCUGAUCUGUAAAGCAGAUCCAUGCCUCAGUCUUAACUCUUAUAACUGUAAGAAGUCUAUGUGCAUCCCAAAAUUACUGAUAUAUGUCUCCCCUAUAUAAAAUUUGAGUAUUUCAUUAUCUUCCCUAUUGGUUUAUGCUAUCACAACCGCACAGCUCCUUAAAAACUGUUUAGAUGCCAAACUAUUUAAAUUAUGUAGUAGUUCUGUGAGGAAAUCUUUGACCAAAUUUAUGGACCCUUAUGUUUGUUUUUAACCUCUACGGAUCGGGUUUUCAACAGGUUUUCAAUAGGUUAGUUUCUGUAUGAGAGAGGAGGAGAGAGAGAGAACCAUGAACAAUUGAUUGAUUUGAUCAUCCGAGUAGCCGCUGCGGAUCAGAAUAUUCAAGAAGUCCUGCUUGCUUGGGUCAUCGCUUGCACCUUCUCUUCUCUCUCUGAUGACAGACUCCCACAUAGAACAAAUCCUUGCAAUCAGCUCCUUGGUCUUCUUGUUCAGACCUUGAAGAUCCAAUCCACUGAAAAUUAAAUAAAAAUCAUCCAAAUUCGGAGCAGCCAUGGCCAUCACCAUUUUCCUUACAAGUCCUUUCAUGCCUCCAUCCUUAUUAUCAUCCUCAAAGCUGAUAAAAUCUCUGGACAUAAGAACAGUAGUCAGGGUAUUAAGUACAGUAGCAAACACCACUUCUCCAACUUUCAUCACCUCCCCCUCCUUUGUGCUCACAAAUCUCACCAUCUCCAUCACCUUCUUCUCUCCCACCCAUGCUUGAGACUCCAUUACUUUGGUUGAGAAAAGUUCAGCCCUACAAACUGUCCUUAGAUUCUUCCAUGCACCAUUGCACUCAACUGCCCAUCCAAGAGACAUGGGGUUGAUUUCAGAAUUCUUGGCUGGUACUGCGUGAGGAACAUAUCUACCAGAUAGAACACGAUCAUGUGUCUUGAGAAUUUCCAUGGCGGCGGAGGAUGUUGAUGCCACCACCAAGAUUUGGGAUCCGAGUCUUAGCGAGAUGAGAGGACCAUAGGACUGGCUAAAGCGAGCUAAACUGAUGUGAGGCAUGUUUCCCAGAUGCAAAAGAUUGCCUAAGAUUGGCCAUGGAGAAGGUCCUGGUGGGAGUGGUGGAGAUUUGAGCGAAGAUGAAUCUUUUAAAAGCUUUAGGAUGAGAAAGACCAGAAGUGGGAGGAGGAGGAGGAAAGGCAAGAAGACAUCGAAGAAGCUGGUUCCUUCUGCUAACAUGGCUACCAUGAAUUCGAUUGGGAUGAGGAGGGAAAGUAACAAAGUUAUCCCUAAUUCUCUGAAUCUCCUCUCCAGUGAUGAAAACUGACAUAAGUUGACCAGGAUAUUGCUUGGGGUCAUGCUACGAUACCC
rnacentral:lncRNA from 1 species